rnacentral:rRNA from 1 species
UACAGAGGGUGCAAGCGUUGUUCGGAAUUACUGGGCGUAAAGCGCACGUAGGCGGCUUUGUAAGUUAGAGGUGAAAGCCUGGAGCUCAACUCCAGAAUUGCCUUUAAGACUGCAUCGCUUGAAUCCAGAAGAGGUAAGUGGAAUUCCGAGUGUAGAGGUGAAAUUCGUAGAUAUUCGGAAGAACACCAGUGGCGAAGGCGGCUCACUGGACUGGUAUUGACGCUGAGGUGCGAAAGCGUGGGGAGCAAACAGG